rnacentral:ncRNA from 2 species
GUUGGUCUUCGGGGCAGGGGUGUGAAUCCCCGAUCGGCGGUAAAGCCCGCGAGCGUCCUACGACGCAUGACCCGGUGAAGGUGUAAGCCCACUCCGGGGCCGACCGUACAGUCGGGAUGAAAGAAGGCUCUC